rnacentral:rRNA from 1 species
AGUCAAUAGAUACCCUGGUAGUCCACGCCGUAAACGAUGAGUACUAGGUGUAGGAGGUAUCGACUCCUUCUGUGCCGCAGUUAACACAAUAAGUACUCCGCCUGGGAAGUACGGUCGCAAGAUUAAAACUCAAAGGAAUUGACGGGGGCCCGCACAAGCAGCGGAGCAUGUGGUUUAAUUCGAAGCAACGCGAAGAACCUUACCUAGACUUGACAUCCCCUGAAUAACGUAGAGAUACGCGAAGCCCUUCGGGGCAGGGAGACAGGUGGUGCAUGGUUGUCGUCAGCUCGUGUCGUGAGAUGUUGGGUUAAGUCCCGCAACGAGCGCAACCCUUAUCAUUAGUUGCUACCAUUUAGUUGAGCACUCUAGUGAGACUGCCCGGGUUAACCGGGAGGAAGGCGGGGAUGACGUCAAAUCAUCAUGCCCCUUAUGUCUAGGGCUACACACGUGCUACAAUGGUGAGAACAACGAGAUGCAAUACCGCGAGUGGAGCAAAACUUCAAAACUCAUCUCAGUUCGGAUUGUAGGCUGAAAC